GGGUUGUGAGGUUAAGCGACUAAGCGUACACGGUGGAUGCCCUGGCAGUCAGAGGCGAUGAAGGACGUGCUAAUCUGCGAAAAGCGUCGGUAAGGUGAUAUGAACCGUUACAGCCGGCGAUGUCCGAAUGGGGAAACCCAGUGCAAUUCGUUGCACUAUCGUUAACUGAAUACAUAGGUUAACGAGGCGAACCGGGGGAACUGAAACAUCUAAGUACCCCGAGGAAAAGAAAUCAACCGAGAUUCCCCCAGUAGCGGCGGGCGAACGGGGAGCAGCCCGGAGUCUGAAUCAGCUUGUGUGUUAGUGGAAGCGUCUGGAAAGUCGCAGGGUACAGGGUGAUACUCCCGUACACUAAAACACACAGGUUGUGAACUCGAAGAGUAGGGCGGGACACGUGGUAUCCUGUCUGAAUAUGGGGGGACCAUCCUCCAAGGCUAAAUACUCCUGACUGACCGAUAGUGAACCAGUACCGUGAGGGAAAGGCGAAAAGAACCCCGGCGAGGGGAGUGAAAAAGAACCUGAAACCGUGUACGUACAAGCAGUAGGAGCCCCACCACCAAAGCGUUUCGCUUUGCGUGGUGCGCAAAAUGCGUAACGACAGCGCGAUGGACGGUUAACGGAGCGUAAGCGACGUUCAACAUCAAAAAUCAGGCAGUGGAGCGUUUUGGGGUGGGGUGACUGCGUACCUUUUGUAUAAUGGGUCAGCGACUUAUAUUCUGUAGCAAGGUUAACCGUAUAGGGGAGCCGCAGGGAAACCGAGUCUUAACUGGGCGUUAAGUUGCAGGGUAUAGACCCGAAACCCGGUGAUCUAGCCAUGGGCAGGUUGAAGGUUGGGUAACACUAACUGGAGGACCGAACCGACUAAUGUU
rnacentral:rRNA from 1 species